rnacentral:rRNA from 1 species
UACGGGGGGGCAAGCGUUGUUCGGAAUUACUGGGCGUAAAGGGCUCGUAGGCGGCCAACUAAGUCAGACGUGAAAUCCCUCGGCUUAACCGGGGAACUGCGUCUGAUACUGGAUGGCUUGAAUCCGGGAGAGGGAGUGCGGAAUUCCAGGUGUAGCGGUGAAAUGCGUAGAUAUCUGGAGGAACACCGGUGGCGAAGGCGGCAUCCUGGACCGGCAUUGACGCUGAGGAGCGAAAGCCAGGGGAGCCAAAGCGGG